rnacentral:rRNA from 1 species
AUGCAAUCACAGUUUUGCCAAAUGGUUGUCUUGUCAGUAGCUAUUAUGUGCUUUGCUCCUGUACUGUCGAACCACUCUCUAGGCAGAAGCCUGCUUACGUUCAACUUGGUGAUGUGUGACUGCUACAACAAAAACGAAUUAUUAUCACUCUUGGGGGUUCUGCCCAUGACCCAAUCUUGUGCCAUUUAUUUAUCUUUUCUUUCACUUAUUUCCACCUUAAUAAUGUCUAGAUUGACAUGUUCUUCUAUAUUUUUUUCUGUCAAAAAGCUUUAUAUAUAUUUUGCUGCACCUAUAUGUCACAUUAUCUACUUACAAGCAGUGCAUUUCAGUAUGUCACAUAGCAUUGAAAUAAACUAUGAUGACCCAGGUUACUAUCCUAAUGAUGGCAACUUCCACUGGAAGUGA